GAUCAGCAUAUGGUUGGGGCAUAUUAGACAGGUAUGCAACGGAACUCCCACCAGAUAAGCUUGCAAAGGUGAUUCCCUUUUC
rfam:Anaerosporobacter mobilis DSM 15930 genome assembly, contig: EJ17DRAFT_scaffold00004.4